rnacentral:rRNA from 1 species
UUUGUGAAAUUGUUGAAAGGGAAGCGCUUACAACCAGACUUGCGCGCGGCGGUUCCCCCUUCCUUUUGGUUGGGCUACUCCGUCGUGUCCAGGCCAACAUCGGUUCUGGGGGUCGGUUAAAGACCUUGGGAAUGUACCUACCCUUCGGGCGUAGACUUAUAGCCCAGGGUGUCAUGCGACCUCCCGGGACCGAGGAACGCGCUUCGGCUCGGAUGUUGGCGUAAUGGUUGUCAGCGACCCGUCUUGAAACACAGACCAAGGAGUCA